CGAAUGUUUUGCGUCUCUCGUGAGUUGUUCGUGAAACUCGUCUCGCGGCGGAUAUCAACAAUAUCCGAGGUGCACAUUUAUCGAUAUCAUCGACGUUCAAUCCAACUGCUCUGUUGUUAAGAAGAAAAAGUGUGAUUCUUUCAUUCGCAUCGCGUCAAGUUUUCGGUUUAACUUGCCGUCUUUCGUUUUGGCGCGAAUAAGCUCGAAGACUAUUCGCGAACAGUAUCGGCGUUGUUCAGUCGAAAUACUCGAAACGUCAAUUCUAAUAAAAAUAUAAAAUGGAAAUCUAACAUAACAUUUGAUUGGACCAUUAAGAGUCUUAUAACUCAUUCAGUAGAUGUUUAUGUGUCUAUUUAUUAGUCUAGUUAGUUUCUUGAUCACUAUGCAUGCUAUUCAGUGUCCCAUUGACAGUUUCCAUUUAGAUUGAAAAUUAUUCCGAAGUAGGACAAUCGUGUGGGAAACAGCAUACAUAUAGUAGAAUUAAGUAUGUAAUAGAAUCGCGUGUGUGAAUCAGGAAAUCGUAUUAGACUAGAUCGUUGUUCUAAACGCGAAGGUAUUUGUUAUAUUAGUUCAAGAGACUAAUGUACUCGUACUCAAUAAUAUUAUGAAGUGUUUGUGAAUUGAUGAAACUUUGCGUACAAUAUUAGACUAAGACGAGAACUUUGGAAGUUAGUGCACCGUGAAAGGAUUACAAGGAUCACUGAAUCAGAGCAUCAUUCAACGCAUCAAAGUAACAUCCUGCAGCCUUCAUAAAGGGGAAGCAUCCAGAAAUGGUAACUCGGACUGAAGCUCGCCGGCCGGAAGUCAGCGAGAUGCAGCUCGGUUCGUGCGAAAGUGUUCUGUGACAGCAAUUACCGUGACAUGAAGUGAACGAACAACGCGAACACCGCGAGAUCCUGGCAAGCCGCCGUGAAGAAUCAAGUUUCCGUUCCGUUCAGAAAACUUGUCCGCGAGUGAAGACGUCGACACGACUGGAGGAAAGUGCAACCGUAACGAUGUGUUUGAGUGUUAGCGGAAUGGAUACGUCAAGGAAUCGAACGUGGCUGAGACGAAUGGCUAGUCUGCUCUGGCUCGUCUUCCUAUUCGUCGAAGUUUCCGCUGGAACUCUGGAGAAACUACACGAA